CACACUAUCAUUAACUGAAUCCAUAGGUUAAUGAGGCGAACCGGGGGAACUGAAACAUCUAAGUACCCCGAGGAAAAGAAAUCAACCGAGAUUCCCCCAGUAGCGGCGAGCGAACGGGGAGGAGCCCAGAGCCUGAAUCAGUGUGUGUGUUAGUGGAAGCGUCUGGAAAGGCGCGCGAUACAGGGUGACAGCCCCGUACACAAAAAUGCACAUGCUGUGAGCUCGAUGAGUAGGGCGGGACACGUGGUAUCCUGUCUGAAUAUGGGGGGACCAUCCUCCAAGGCUAAAUACUCCUGACUGACCGAUAGUGAACCAGUACCGUGAGGGAAAGGCGAAAAGAACCCCGGCGAGGGGAGUGAAAAAGAACCUGAAACCGUGUACGUACAAGCAGUGGGAGCACAGAGCAAUCUGUGUGACUGCGUACCUUUUGUAUAAUGGGUCAGCGACUUAUAUUCUGUAGCAAGGUUAACCGAAUAGGGGAGCCGAAGGGAAACCGAGUCUUAACUGGGCGUUAAGUUGCAGGGUAUAGACCCGAAACCCGGUGAUCUAGCCAUGGGCAGGUUGAAGGUUGGGUAACACUAACUGGAGGACCGAACCGACUAAUGUUGAAAAAUUAGCGGAUGACUUGUGGCUGGGGGUGAAAGGCCAAUCAAACCGGGAGAUAGCUGGUUCUCCCCGAAAGCUAUUUAGGUAGCGCCUCGUGAAUUCAUCUCCGGGGGUAGAGCACUGUUUCGGCAAGGGGGUCAUCCCGACUUACCAACCCGAUGCAAACUGCGAAUACCGGAGAAUGUUAUCACGGGAGACACACGGCGGGUGCUAACGUCCGUCGUGAAGAGGGAAACAACCCAGACCGCCAGCUAAGGUCCCAAAGUCAUGGUUAAGUGGGAAACGAUGUGGGAAGGCCCAGACAGCCAGGAUGUUGGCUUAGAAGCAGCCAUCAUUUAAAGAAAGCGUAAUAGCUCACUGGUCGAGUCGGCCUGCGCGGAAGAUGUAACGGGGCUAAACCAUGCACCGAAGCUGCGGCAGCGACACUGUGUGUUGUUGGGUAGGGGAGCGUUCUGUAAGCCUGUGAAGGUGUGCUGUGAGGCAUGCUGGAGGUAUCAGAAGUGCGAAUGCUGACAUAAGUAACGAUAAAGCGGGUGAAAAGCCCGCUCGCCGGAAGACCAAGGGUUCCUGUCCAACGUUAAUCGGGGCAGGGUGAGUCGACCCCUAAGGCGAGGCCGAAAGGCGUAGUCGAUGGGAAACAGGUUAAUAUUCCUGUACUUGGUGUUACUGCGAAGGGGGGACGGAGAAGGCUAUGUUGGCCGGGCGACGGUUGUCCCGGUUUAAGCGUGUAGGCUGGUUUUCCAGGCAAAUCCGGAAAAUCAAGGCUGAGGCGUGAUGACGAGGCACUACGGUGCUGAAGCAACAAAUGCCCUGCUUCCAGGAAAAGCCUCUAAGCAUCAGGUAACAUCAAAUCGUACCCCAAACCGACACAGGUGGUCAGGUAGAGAAUACCAAGGCGCUUGAGAGAACUCGGGUGAAGGAACUAGGCAAAAUGGUGCCGUAACUUCGGGAGAAGGCACGCUGAUAUGUAGGUGAAGUCCCUCGCGGAUGGAGCUGAAAUCAGUCGAAGAUACCAGCUGGCUGCAACUGUUUAUUAAAAACACAGCACUGUGCAAACACGAAAGUGGACGUAUACGGUGUGACGCCUGCCCGGUGCCGGAAGGUUAAUUGAUGGGGUCAGCGCAAGCGAAGCUCUUGAUCGAAGCCCCGGUAAACGGCGGCCGUAACUAUAACGGUCCUAAGGUAGCGAAAUUCCUUGUCGGGUAAGUUCCGACCUGCACGAAUGGCGUAAUGAUGGCCAGGCUGUCUCCACCCGAGACUCAGUGAAAUUGAACUCGCUGUGAAGAUGCAGUGUACCCGCGGCAAGACGGAAAGACCCCGUGAACCUUUACUAUAGCUUGACACUGAACAUUGAGCCUUGAUGUGUAGGAUAGGUGGGAGGCUUUGAAGUGUGGACGCCAGUCUGCAUGGAGCCGACCUUGAAAUACCACCCUUUAAUGUUUGAUGUUCUAACGUGGACCCGUGAUCCGGGUUGCGGACAGUGUCUGGUGGGUAGUUUGACUGGGGCGGUCUCCUCCUAAAGAGUAACGGAGGAGCACGAAGGUUGGCUAAUCCUGGUCGGACAUCAGGAGGUUAGUGCAAUGGCAUAAGCCAGCUUGACUGCGAGCGUGACGGCGCGAGCAGGUGCGAAAGCAGGUCAUAGUGAUCCGGUGGUUCUGAAUGGAAGGGCCAUCGCUCAACGGAUAAAAGGUACUCCGGGGAUAACAGGCUGAUACCGCCCAAGAGUUCAUAUCGACGGCGGUGUUUGGCACCUCGAUGUCGGCUCAUCACAUCCUGGGGCUGAAGUAGGUCCCAAGGGUAUGGCUGUUCGCCAUUUAAAGUGGUACGCGAGCUGGGUUUAGAACGUCGUGAGACAGUUCGGUCCCUAUCUGCCGUGGGCGCUGGAGAACUGAGGGGGGCUGCUCCUAGUACGAGAGGACCGGAGUGGACGCAUCACUGGUGUUCGGGUUGUCAUGCCAAUGGCACUGCCCGGUAGCUAAAUGCGGAAGAGAUAAGUGCUGAAAGCAUCUAAGCACGAAACUUGCCCCGAGAUGAGUUCUCCCUGACCCUUUAAGGGUCCUGAAGGAACGUUGAAGACGACGACGUUGAUAGGCCGGGUGUGUAAGCGCAGCGAUGCGUUGAGCUAACCGGUACUAAUGAACCGUGAGGCUUAACCUUACAACGCCGAAGGUGUUU
rnacentral:rRNA from 1 species